CAUUUGCCUCCAAGAUCCUCGAGAGAGAGUUGUCUACGCCAGAUUGACAGACUUUCUUGAAUCCAACUCUCUGCUUGACCCCCUUCAGUCUGGAUUCCGCGCUGGUCACUCUGUCGAAACUGCUGUGACCAAAGUAUCCAACGAUUUAAUUGCUGCUAAAUCUCGCGGCCAAUACUCUAUCCUAAUCCUCCUUGAUCUUUCUGCCGCUUUUGACACUGUUGAUCAUC